rnacentral:rRNA from 1 species
GACGAACGCUGGCGGCGUGCCUAAUACAUGCAAGUUGAGCGCUGAAGGUUGGUACUUGUACCAACUGGAUGAGCAGCGAACGGGUGAGUAACGCGUGGGGAAUCUGCCUUUGAGCGGGGGACAACAUUUGGAAACGAAUGCUAAUACCGCAUAAAAACUUUAAACACAAGUUUUAAGUUUGAAAGAUGCAAUUGCAUCACUCAAAGAUGAUCCCGCGUUGUAUUAGCUAGUUGGUGAGGUAAAGGCUCACCAAGGCGAUGAUACAUAGCCGACCUGAGAGGGUGAUCGGCCACAUUGGGACUGAGACACGGCCCAAACGCCUACGGGAGGCAGCAGUAGGGAAUCUUCGGCAAUAGACGAAAGUCUGACCGAGCAACGCCGCGUGAGUGAAGAAGGUUUUCGGAUCGUAAAACUCUGUUGGUAGAGAAGAACGUUGGUGAGAGUGGAAAGCUCAUCAAGUGACGGUAACUACCCAGAAAGGGACGGCUAACUACGUG